ACGACUGAGUCUAAUUGAAUGUCGCUGUGUGAUGUUAUGUCGAUACUCCCCGCUCUACUCUCGAGGUGGAUGGACUGCGGGGCUCGCAGGUCGAGUCGCCUCGUCAAUGAUUCCAACCUAACGUAAUAAUAAAUUAAAAAUUUAUCGUGAGACUCCAUUAUUUUACGAAGAUUUGAAUUUGGGAAUGAGAAACACAUAAAGGACGUAUGGGUUCAAACGAAGAGACAGAGAUAGGGUCUUGAGCCGAGGUGACGACCAAAAGUUUAUGGCGACUGACUGUAAGUCUGCAGCCGGCGGUGCUCGUACUACCGGCGUCUGCAGAGCUCCCCUCACUGCCAGCCCGCCCGCUCCACUCACUGACAGAGUCUCCGAGAAGACGCGCACCUCCUCUCGAGACGCGUGGAACACCUCCUCGCCGCGAGCGUCUCGCACGUGGAACGAACGACCACUGCAUUCCAGGCUGUCUCGUUCUAUCGCAAUACAUACAGACAGACACAUUAUCCGUCAUCGACUGUUAUGGACCGACUGUUCAUCAAUAUUAUUAAGAAAACUUUUAGUGACAUUGUACUAACUCAGGAAUAGUUUUGCUGCUUCCUUGUGGUUUUCAUCGGACACUAUGAUAGUGAAAUUGCGGUAUGAGUGCAGGCUGAGCGGUUGACCCGUUUGUGAAGACAGCGUGGACGCGAUCAGAUUGUCAAGGACCCAAGCCUGUCCAUCCAACCGGAUCCCCUCCUUGAUGAUAGUGAUCGGUCCUAUACCUCUCUGGAAACAUUCGGAUGAUUAAUAAACAUUGUUGACGAGCUUUCACUGCACACACAAAACAUCGAAAUGAACUCACCGCGCUCAGUUUCAAGGUACUUAUAAUCCACAAUGUCAAGGCGAUAUUAAGAAAUACGAGUAUGAUGAGGAACACUAUGAUUCCAUAGAGCGCGUUUCGUCUCCAUCCUCGUGUGACGAACGGCGGUAGACAGGCGGGCGGUGUAGUGGUAACGGUGGCGGAGGUGGUCACUGUAGCCGGCGGGGGCUCCCCGGGGGGUGUACAGCCCCAACCCCGGAUACCUUCACUGUUGGCAUCCUCAACCUUCAUUUUGGGUUCGCCUAUUUAAUCUGUCUGAGAUGAUAGAUUGGCUGAAAAUAAAUGGUUUGUUUUGGAUAACAAAAAUUUAUUCAACUAAAAGUAACGAAAGUCUAAUACUAAACUAAUAUUACACUGAGGAACGGUUCUUAUAAAAUUUGUAAAAUAAUUUGACUGAACUUUCGAAAAUAUUGGACAACGAAUACCAAAUAACUCGAAUACUAUUAAUGGAAUAAAACACUACUGCUUUGUUUUCUCGAUGACAAAAGAAAAACAAAAAAGGAACUCUGAAGCAUGGAGAAAUAGUUUUCAGAAUUUUUUAAUAUAUGGAGGCGAUUUAGAAACGUAUUCGGUAUCGAGACAUUGCGAGCAGUUUAUAGAUAUGUGUUGGUUUUAUUUGUAACGGAUUGUACAAAUAGUAAGUUAUGGAAAACCGAUAGGCGAAGCUCAGAGCGGAGCCGCGUUCUGAACGAGAACGUUCGCUGUCGAGGGAUGAGCGGCGAGCGUCGAGGGUCGAGGGUCGAGGGUCGAGAGUCACAACAUUCAUGACAUGUAACUGUAAUAUAUGAACUUUGUUUUGCAAAAUGUUUAACCCAACUUUUAUCUGAAGAAUUUUUAAAACAAUAAUGAAGUGAUUAAUUGGACGUGCAGUCGUUGAUCCAGUGCUGUGCUAUUUGAAGAGUUGAUUCUUAAAUUAAUAUACGAACAUUGUUUUAUCAAUUAAAUUAAUACAAAAAUUAUACUAUUCUUACUGUG